UACGUAGGGUGCGAGCGUUGUCCGGAAUUAUUGGCGUAAAGAGCUCGUAGGCGGUGUGUCACGUCGGCCGUGAAAACCUGCAGCUUAACUGUGGGCGUGCGGUCGAUACGGGCAUCACUGGAGUUCGGCAGGGGAGACUGGAAUUCCUGGUGUAGCGGUGAAAUGCGCAGAUAUCAGGAGGAACACCGGUGGCGAAGGCGGGUCUCUGGGCCGAUACUGACGUGAGGAGCGAAAGCGUUGGGGAGCAAACAGG
rnacentral:rRNA from 1 species